rnacentral:lncRNA from 1 species
AAACACUCCUCACAAUCCCUAAACUCUCAAAAUCUCUCACUCUCAACUCUCAGCUAAAAAACCUAGCCGCCGCUUCACAAAACCAACCCUCUCCGUUUUUCUCUUAGCCUUCGCCCUCCAUCUCCAUCAUCUCAACCCUUCUUCACUAACUCACACAAACCUUCAUCAAUCGUCAUCAUAACCUUACCACCACCGCCAAAUCGAAUCGCCGUUCUUCAUCGCCCCGUAGCCGCUCGAAACCUCAUUCGACCAACCCCAAAACCCAUCUUCAUCUCUUCAUCGCCGUUACCGUACAAACCCUCGCCGCCGUGAAGCUCACCUUCAGAUCGACGAACACCCCUAAAUACAAAUCUCCAACCGUCACAAACCCACCCUCCGUUAAUGCCAAACCCUUAAAAUCAAACCCAUUCCGCACUACCUCUCAACCGUUCCUGUCAAAAAAAAUUAACUCUCGGAAAUGUGUUGUUGCUGUAAUUUGCUGUUUUUCAGGGAAAAAGUUUGAAGGUCAAAGAGCCAUGGAUAUAUUGGGUGAAGCAAGCUGUGCGGAUUGUCAAAACGCCGAAGACAUGACGAUUGGAUAAGAGAUCUCAAGCUGCUGCUGUUAUUGAUUUGGGCUCUAUUGCAGUUACUGCAAUUACGGUAACUCCUCGGGCUAACUUUUCGGCAGUAGUUACAAACCUGUUUUCGUCAUCUUUUCAAUUCAUUAGGUUCUGUUUAGGUUUAGAAUCAUUAAUUUUUUAUGUGUUAUGUUGAAUUUGUGCUGAUAUCUGUUAAACGUAUUUAACUGCGAGCGAGGUUUCACUUCUGUUUAGGUUUUGAAUCAGUGUGCAGGGUUUGUCUGAUUUGUAAUUUCUAAUUAGCCUUUUAAUCCUGUCGAUAUAUGUUUGGUUUUAAUUGCAAUUUCUUUGAUUUUCUUCAAAUUCUGUUUUGGUGUAGCAUUGAGAGAUUGAUUAUUGAGGUAGAUUGAUUACUAAACUGAGGUGUAAUAUUUGGACAAAUUGGUUCUGUUUUAAUGUAGUGUGUAGACAUAGGAGUUUUUCAAUUAAGCUGUCAAAAAGUGUUUUAGCUUUUCCAAUGGUCAUCUUUCUUAUCUUGAAAAUUUGAGUUAUGGAUGUUUAUGAUUGCUUUGCUCUGUGAUAUGCUUGAUACGAUUAAGUGGAAACCGAACUGUUCAUAUUCUUGAUACAAUUUGAUUCUAGAUUUUUAGUUGAAUUUUGGUGUUUACUGUUAUUAUUGUAAAUAAACUUGUAAAUAUUAAAUUGAUUAUGUUUACAUUUGAUGCAUGAAUCAGAUUUUUUUUUUAAAACGACAUCGAUAAUACUGUCAUCUCGCCAUAACCGGUUUUUUAGCACAUUUUGUGACUACCAUGAUUCGAGUUUUGUAAAUCAAUGUUAUCAUAUGUUUCUUUUUCUAAUUAAUCAAUUUAAUUGUUGUUUAAUUAAUUAAUUAACAUUAAUUUUAAUUAACAUAAUUAUAUUUUCUAAGUGAAUAAUUUUGGUGAUUAGUUUUAGUUAAAGUAAUUAAUUAAUUCAAUCAAAUUUUGAGAAAUUAAUUUGGUUAAUUAGAAAACCAUAAUCAUUUCA